ACCCCCAGGUUUGCAGGUGCGGGCUAGACCAGGAAGUGUAGAAGAGUAAAGUCUUCAGUUAUGUAAUAGAAUGGUUAGAUGUGGACAUGAUGAACUAAUGUGUAUUGAAAAAGUGUUGAAAGGUCAUGUAAUGUAAUGAUAUGAUAUUGAGGACUAGAGUAGUGCUUGACCAUAUGUGUUGUUAUCCCUUGAUACAUGAUCUAUAGAUUUUCUUAUGAUGAUUAUGUUUGACCAGGCUCAAUGUAUGUAUGAGAUACCCCAUUGGAGCAUUUGAUGAGGGCUCCAGUGGAGGUUUAUGUUUAUGUCUAUGAGAAUGCACAAGUUGAGUUUGGUUGAUGUAUGAGAAAGUUUACAGGUUUAUGCAUAUGUAUGAUCAUGUAUGGGAUUGAACAGGUUCACAGGUUAUAUGUCAGGCUUGCU
rnacentral:lncRNA from 1 species